rnacentral:rRNA from 1 species
GAUGCACGCUGACAGAAUGCUUAACACAUGCAAGUCAACUGUGGCGGACGGGUGAGUAACGCGUAAAGACCUUGCCUCACCGAUCGGGACAACAUCUGGAAACGAAUGCUAAUACCUGAUACUGUGAGAGAGCUUUGCGUCCCAUUAGCUAGUUGGAGAGGUAACGGCUCACCAAGGCGAUGAUGGGUAGCCGGCCUGAGUGGGUGCUCGGCCACAAGGGGAAUGAGACACGGCCCUUACUCCUACGGGAGGCGGCAAAUGGGAAGAUGGGACAAUGAACCAAAGGCUGAUCCAACGAAGCUUUGUGAGCGAUGAAGUUUUCGGAAUGAAAAGUGCUUUCAGUUGGGAAGCGGUACCAACUGAAGAAGUGACGGCUAAAUACGUGCCAGCAGCCGCGGUAAUUC